rnacentral:rRNA from 1 species
UAGUGGCGAACGGGUGAGUAACACGUGGGCAAUCUGCCCUGCACUCUGGGACAAGCCCUGGAAACGGGGUCUAAUACCGGAUAACACUCCUGCACUCAUGUGUGGGGGUUAAAAGCUCCGGCGGUGCAGGAUGAGCCCGCGGCCUAUCAGCUUGUUGGUGAGGUAAUGGCUCACCAAGGCGACGACGGGUAGCCGGCCUGAGAGGGCGACCGGCCACACUGGGACUGAGACACGGCCCAGACUCCUACGGGAGGCAGCAGUGGGGAAUAUUGCACAAUGGGCGAAAGCCUGAUGCAGCGACGCCGCGUGAGGGAUGACGGCCUUCGGGUUGUAAACCUCUUUCAGCAGGGAAGAAGCGNAAGUGACGGUACCUGCAGAAGAAGCGCCGGCUAACUACGUGCCAGCAGCCGCGGUAAUACGUAGGGCGCAAGCGUUGUCCGGAAUUAUUGGGCGUAAAGAGCUCGUAGGCGGCUUGUCACGUCGGGUGUGAAAGCCCGGGGCUUAACCCCGGGUCUGCAUUCGAUACGGGCUAGCUAGAGUGUGGUAGGGGAGAUCGGAAUUCCU